UUAGGAAUAUUCGUCAAUGGGGGAAACCCUGAACGAGCAAUGCCGCGUGAGUGAUGACGGUCCUUUGGAUUGUAAAACUCUGUUGUUAAGGAAAAAUGAUAAGUAUAGGAAAUGAUACUUAUUUGAUGGUACUUUUCAAGAAAGCCACGGCUAACUACGUGCCAGCAGCCGCGGUAAUACGUAGGUGGCGAGCGUUAUCCGGAUUUAUUGGGCGUAAAGCGUGCGCAGACGGUUUGUUAAGUUUGAAAUCAAAAGCCUGGAGCUUAACUCCAGUUAGUUUCAAAAACUGGCAGGCUAGAGUGUGGUAGAGGCAAAUGGAAUUUCUAGUGUAGC
rnacentral:rRNA from 1 species